rnacentral:rRNA from 1 species
GCUCAGGAUGAACGCUGGCGGCGUGCCUAAUACAUGCAAGUCGAGCGAACGGACAGGAGUGCUUGCACUCCUUGAAGUUAGCGGCGGACGGGUGAGUAACACGUGGGUAACCUACCUAUAAGACUGGGAUAACUUCGGGAAACCGGAGCUAAUACCGGAUAAUAUAUACCUCCGCAUGGAGGAAUAGUCAAAGACGGUUCUGCUGUCACUUAUAGAUGGACCCGCGGUGUAUUAGCUAGUUGGUGAGGUAACGGCUCACCAAGGCAACGAUACAUAGCCGACCUGAGAGGGUGAUCGGCCACACUGGGACUGAGACACGGCCCAGACUCCUACGGGAGGCAGCAGUAGGGAAUCUUCCGCAAUGGACGAAAGUCUGACGGAGCAACGCCGCGUGAGUGAAGAAGGUUUUCGGAUCGUAAAACUCUGUUGUAAGGGAAGAACAAGUACGUUAGUAACUGAACGU